CCCUUAGAUGUUCUGGGCCGCACACGCGCUACACUGAAGGAGGCAGCGUGUACUCCUGGAUCGAAAGAUUUGGGUAACCCGCGAAUCUCCUUCGUGCUAGGGAUUGAGGUUUGCAAUUAUUCUUCAUGAACGAGGAAUUCCCAGUAAGUGCAAGUCAUAAGCUUGCGCUGACUACGUCCCUGCCCUUUGUACACACCGCCCGUCGCUACUACCGAUUGAAUGAUUUAGUGAGGACUUCGGACUGGGACCGAUGCGGCUUUCGGGCUGCGUCGGUAUUCUGGAAAGAUGUCCAAACUGUAUCAUUUAGAGGAAGUAAAANUCGUAACA
rnacentral:rRNA from 1 species